rnacentral:rRNA from 1 species
GACGAACGCUGGCGGCGUGCUUAACACAUGCAAGUCGAACGGAAAGGCCCUGCUUUUGUGGGGUGCUCGAGUGGCGAACGGGUGAGUAACACGUGAGUAACCUGCCCUUGACUUUGGGAUAACUUCAGGAAACUGGAGCUAAUACCGGAUAGGAGCUCCUGCUGCAUGGUGGGGGUUGGAAAGUUUCGGCGGUUGGGGAUGGACUCGCGGCCUAUCAGCUUGUUGGUUGGGUAGUGGCUUACCAAGGCUUUGACGGGUAGCCGGCCUGAGAGGGUGACCGGCCACAUUGGGACUGAGAUACGGCCCAGACUCCUACGGGAGGCAGCAGUGGGGAAUAUUGCACAAUGGGCGGAAGCCUGAUGCAGCAACGCCGCGUGCGGGAUGACGGCCUUCGGGUUGUAAACCGCUUUCGCCUGUGACGAAGCGUGAGUGACGGUAAUGGGUAAAGAAGCACCGGCUAACUACGUG